rnacentral:rRNA from 1 species
AGCAGCCGCGGUAAUUCCAGCUCCAAUAGCGUAUAUUAAAGUUGUUGCAGUUAAAAAGCUCGUAGUUGAAUUUCGGGGUUAGUAGGUUGGUCAUGCCUCUGGUAUGUACUGGUCUCACUGAUUCCUCCUUCCUGAUGAACCUUAAUGCCAUUAAUUUGGUGUUUUGGGGAAUUUGGACUGUUACUUUGAAAAAAUUAGAGUGUUUAAAGCAAGCUAACGCUUGAAUACAUUAGCAUGGAAUAAUGAAAUAGGACGUUUGAUCCUAUUUUGUUGGCUUCUAGGAUUGACGUAAUGAUUAAUAGGGAUAGUUGGGGGCAUUAGUAUUCAAUUGUCAGAGGUGAAAUUCUUGGAUUUAUUGAAGACUAACUACUGCGAAAGCAUUUGCCAAGGAUGUUUUCAUUAAUCAAGAACGAAAGUUAGGGGAUCGAAGACGAUCAGAUACCGUCGUAGUCUUAACCAUAAACUAUGCCGACUAGGGAUCGGAUGAUGUUAAUUUUUUAAUGACUCAUUCGGCGCCUUACG